AUGCAAGUGCCUCCUGUAGCGCUGCUGCUCUUGGCACAGGGUACCAUCCAGGCCGAGCCCGUGCAUUUCAAAGUUUGCAGUUCUGAGGUUGGAGUUAUAAUGGAAGUGAAUGUGAACCCAUGUCCCACCGAGCCCUGUCAGCUGAUCAAAGGACAGUCUUACAGUGUCAAUGUCACUUUCACCAGCAAUGCUCCAUCUAAAACCAGCAAGGCCAUGGUGCAUGGCAUCAUCCUGGGCGUCCCAGUUCCCUUUCCCAUUCCUGAGCCUGAUGGCUGCGAGAGUGGAAUCAACUGCCCCAUUCAAAAAGACAAGACCUAUAGCUACCUGAAUAAACUACCUGUGAAAACUGAAUACCCCUCUAUAAAACUGGUGGUGAAGUGGCAACUUCAGACUGAAAAUGGGCAAAAUCUCUUCUGCUGGGAAAUUUCAAUACAGAUAGAAGGCUAG